GAUGAACGCUGGCGGCGUGCCUAAUACAUGCAAGUCGAGCGAACAGAUGAGGAGCUUGCUCCUCUGACGUUAGCGGCGGACGGGUGAGUAACACGUGGAUAACCUACCUAUAAGACUGGGAUAACUUCGGGAAACCGGAGCUAAUACCGGAUAAUAUAUUGAACCGCAUGGUUCAAUAGUGAAAGACGGUUUUGCUGUCACUUAUAGAUGGAUCCGCGGCGCAUUAGCUAGUUGGUAAGGUAAAGGCUUACCAAGGCAACGAUGCGUAGCCGACCUGAGAGGGUGAUCGGCCACACUGGAACUGAGACACGGUCCAGACUCCUACGGGAGGCAGCAGUAGGGAAUCUUCCGCAAUGGGCGAAAGCCUGACGGAGCAACGCCGCGUGAGUGAUGAAGGUCUUCGGAUCGUAAAACUCUGUUAUUAGGGAAGAACAAAUGUGUAAGUAACUAUGCACGUCUUGACGGUACCUAAUCAGAAAGCCACGGCUAACUACGUG
rnacentral:rRNA from 1 species